UCGCCGAUGCCAAGCUGCCCGACAUGCAGGCCGGGUGGGAGCAGGCCACGUCGAACGUGAUGGCGGGGCUUGCGGGGCUCAACAUGGUCUACGAGGCGG
rfam:Aestuariivita atlantica strain 22II-S11-z3 contig7, whole genome shotgun sequence.